rnacentral:rRNA from 1 species
ACGCUUGAAGUCAGUCACGUCUGCCAGGACUCAGCCUUGCUUCUGCUUGGUGCACUUUCUGGUUUGAUGGGCCAACAUCAAUUUUGACCGCUGGAGAAAGGCUUUGGGAAUGUGGCACCUUUGGGUGUGUUAUAGCCCUUUGUCGUAUGCAACGGUUGGGAUUGAGGACUGCAGCACGCCUUCAUGGCCGGGGUUCGCCCACGUACGUGCUUAGGAUGUUGGCAUAAUGGCUUUAAGCGACCCGUCUUGAAACACGGACCAAGGAGUC